UACGUAGGGGGCAAGCGUUGUCCGGAAUCAUUGGGCGUAAAGAGCGUGUAGGCGGCUCGAUAAGUCCGCUGUGAAAGUCCAGGGCUCAACCCUGGAAUGGCGGUGGAAACUGUCGGGCUAGAGUUCGGAAGAGGUGAGUGGAAUUCCUGGUGUAGCGGUGAAAUGCGCAGAUAUCAGGAGGAACACCAAUGGCGAAGGCAGCUCACUGGGACGAUACUGACGCUGAGACGCGAAAGCGUGGGGAGCAAACAGG
rnacentral:rRNA from 1 species